rnacentral:rRNA from 1 species
AGCGAACGCUGGCGGCAGGCUUAACACAUGCAAGUCGAGCGGGCACUUCGGUGUCAGCGGCGGACGGGUGAGUAACGCGUGGGAACGUGCCUUCUGGUUCGGAAUAACUCAGGGAAACUUGAGCUAAUACCGGAUACGCCCUUUUGGGGAAAGGUUUACUGCCGGAAGAUCGGCCCGCGUCUGAUUAGCUAGUUGGUGGGGUAAUGGCCUACCAAGGCGACGAUCAGUAGCUGGUUUGAGAGGAUGAUCAGCCACACUGGAACUUAGACACGGUCCAGACUCCUACGGGAGGCAGCAGUGAGGAAUAUUGGACAAUAGGCGAAAGCCUGAUCCAGCGACGUCACGUGAAUGAUGAAGGCCUUAGGGUUGUAAAAUUCUUUUAGUGGAGAAGAUAAUGACGGUAUCCACAGAAAAAGUCCCGGCUAACUUCGUGCCAGCCGCCGCCGUAACAC